rnacentral:rRNA from 1 species
GAACGAACGCUGGCGGCAUGCCUAACACAUGCAAGUCGAACGAGACCUUCGGGUCUAGUGGCGCACGGGUGCGUAACGCGUGGGAACCUGCCCUUAGGUUCGGAAUAACUCCCCGAAAGGGGUGCUAAUACCGGAUAAUGUCUUCGGACCAAAGAUUUAUCGCCUUUGGAUGGGCCCGCGUUGGAUUAGCUAGUUGGUAGGGUAAAAGCCUACCAAGGCGACGAUCCAUAGCUGGUCUGAGAGGAUGAUCAGCCACACUGGGACUGAGACACGGCCCAGACUCCUACGGGAGGCAGCAGUGGGGAAUAUUGGACAAUGGGCGAAAGCCUGAUCCAGCAAUGCCGCGUGAGUGAUGAAGGCCUUAGGGUUGUAAAGCUCUUUUACCCGGGAUGAUAAUGACAGUACCGGGAGAAUAAGCUCCGGCUAACUCCGU